CCAAAUGGAAAGUGUUCGAGGCGGAGUGGAGAUCACUUCUACCCGGAGUCAGUGGCAGGAUUACUCAUAAGACGAUAUCGGACGCUUAAAAGUGGUUUCACGACAUCACAACUUCGGGGGCUUGGCUCGUCGAUGAUAUAAGUGAAGUACACAUUGACUUCGCCAUGGAUUUGCUACGAGAUCAAGCUGAACGACAUCCAAGAUCGUUCAACAUUUCUGGCCGACUCAUAUUGAACAUUGAGUUCAUACGUGCCAUUGAUAUUGAGUACCAGACAUUGCAAGCUAUGGGUAACGAGUACACGGUGCCUACAUACAUGAUGGAGUGGAUCGUAGGGAUGUGGUCGAGUGUCGGGG